rnacentral:rRNA from 1 species
CACGUAGGAGGCGAGCGUUGUCCGGAAUCAUUGGGCGUAAAGAGCGCGCAGGCGGCUUGGCAAGUCGGGUGUGAAAUCCCGGGGCUCAACCCCGUGACUGCAUCCGAUACUGUCAGGCUAGAGGUAGGUAGGGGAGAUCGGAAUUCCUGGUGUAGCGGUGGAAUGCGCAGAUAUCAGGAAGAACACCAACGGCGAAGGCAGCUCGCUGGGACGGAACUGACGCUGAGGCGCGAAAGCGUGGGGAGCGAACAGG